UUCGCAAUGCCCGAAAGGGUGAACGAGCGACGCCGCGUGGAGGACGAAGGCCUUCGGGUUGUAAACUCCUGUCGAGGGGGAGGAAGGGGCAACCUUGACCGACCCCUGGAGGAAGCACGGGCUAAGUUCGUGCCAGCAGCCGCGGUAAGACGAACCGUGCGAACGUUAUUCGGAAUCACUGGGCAUAAAGCGCAUGUAGGCGGCUCUGAAAGUAGGGUGUGAAAUCCCCUGGCCCACCCAGGGAACUGCAUUCUAAACUUCAGGGCUUGAGUGAAGAAGGGGAGAGAGGAACUCCUGGUGGAGCGGUAAAAUGCGUAGAUAUCAGGAGGAACGCCGGUGGAGAAGUCGUCUCUCUGGUCUUUUACUGACGCUGAGAUGCGAAAGCUAGGGGAGCAAACGGGAUUAGAUACCCCGGUAGUCCUAGCCGUAAACGAUGGGCACUAAGUAGAGGGGUUUU
rnacentral:rRNA from 1 species